GCUUCAGUGCUGCCUGUUUCAACGUCCGCAUGGGGAGAGACGUGGGUUCUGUCUACCCACUCUUCUUUUGUUUUUUCACCGUCUGCUUGGCUCUCGUUUGGACACCUGUUCAAGGAAAAUAUCAGCUGAUCGGAUCAGAUGAGCCAAUCAUUGCUGUUCCUGGUGAGGACGUCACUUUGCCGUGUCACUUGGACCCUGAGGAGGACGUCCAGGACUGGACGGUGGAGUGGUCCAUACCGGACCCUUCGGAAAGGCAGAGUCAAGAAGAUGUAGUGUUCCUGUACAGGACGCGGAUGGAGCUCCAUGGCAUGAUGAUUGUGUCGUACAUCGGGAGGGCGUCUUUGUUUGUAGACGGCCUCAAACAUGGAGACAUGUCCCUCAAGAUCAGGAAUGUGACGCUGGAAGAUGAGGCGAGAUACAAAUGUCUUUCCCUUACGCUGGAUGGGGUUAAGAUUAGGGAAGCGUUUGUUCAGCUUGUCGUUGAUCCAAACUUAAAGGCCUCAACGACAGAGACGUCCCUGCUGCCCACGGAUCUGCCUGCUCCAGAUCUAGAAGAGGAGACGAUGAGUUCUGCAGGUCGGUCCAGGUUGGCUCUUUGGAUCUCUCUCGGGGUUUUCAUCAUCCUGCUUGUAGCUAGCGCCUUUAUCCUUCAACGGCUGCAUCAAAAUAGAAACAAUGAAGUUACACAAUGCAAAGAAUCCCUGGCCCCGCUGCCUUGCUCAGAAACUGGCAUGUGUUAAUGGUGAUCAGUAUCUCCUGAGUCUUUGCUGUCAGUCCAGGGAUUUGAACCAUCAGCAGCUGCAGCCACAUGGAGACGCUGACCUUGACAGGCCAAUCAGAGUCCUGUCAAUCACUGCAUGUCUGCAUGUGGCUGCAGUUCAACGCUGGAGGAAUCAAAGACGUAAAAACUGAAGGAUUUAACUCCUCGUAACGACUUGGCAGCUUCAACCCAAACAGGAAAUUCUCUCGUAUCACCUCAACAUGUCCAUCCAGAAGACGAGGAACUAAUUUAUUGUCCUUUUCAUUUUCUAUUUCCUGUGGAAAAAUAGUUUUUCUUUGUUUUUAUUUUUUUUAUUUAAUGUUUUUUUUUAAGAGAUUUUUUUACUUGCUCAGCCAGAGAGGAACUACAGCUUUCUGUUCUAGGUUUGCCAACUUUCACUGGCUUCUCUUUAUUUUAAUUCCACUCCCAAACUCUAAUUCAUGACCCUUUGUGUUUUGGAAGAAUCAGUCUCGAUGGUGUUCAUCGUCAUCGUUGCUCUUAGUUUUGUAAUCAGCUGCUGUUAUUGAGUUAAAUGUUUACUAGGUGACUUAAAGUGGUUAUGUUCAUAUUGAUGUAGUUUACAGACUGCAUCUGAUCUGUUAAUGUUAGAAGGAACUGAUUUCCAUUGUUACCAGUUCAUUACUUUAGUAGUUUAGAGUAUUAUUAUAAGAAUCUGCUCUGGUUCAUGUAACCACGCCUGGAUGCAGAACUAGUUUUAUUUCAGGUCUGCAGGUGGUCCCAACAUUACGACACAGCGCAAGCCAAAAACAAGGAUUGUUAUUGUGUCAAAGAGGCUACACAACAACACAUGGCUUAACUAGAUCAGUGUGGAGUCUGAGUAAGACUCUCUGGGUGGAGGUAAUGCAUACAUGCUGUUUCAUCAGGUUAAUGUAUGGCUGUGCCUGAAAACCAACCCAGUUUUGAAACUGUUAAUCAGUAGAAGCAGGAGUCUGUUUGAGGUUUCUGUUGCAUUGGUAACUGUACUUAAGGUCAACCCUCCCUUUUUAUUGUUUGAAUCAUUUGAAGCAGCUGAACUGAGCCCAUAAAUGUUUUACUUGGGCGUAGGGCUACAACGAUUAGUCAACGUUGUCGACAGUAGUUGACAAUAAAAAUUGUUGACAACGAAUUUAGCCGUCGACUAUUGUCGGCAAAAA